rnacentral:rRNA from 1 species
UACGGGGGGAGCAAGCGUUGUUCGGAAUUACUGGGCGUAAAGGGCGCGUAGGCGGCCUGUUAAGUCGAACGUGAAAUCCCCGGGCUCAACCCGGGAACUGCGUCCGAUACUGGAAGGCUUGAAUCCGGGAGAGGGAUGCGGAAUUCCAGGUGUAGCGGUGAAAUGCGUAGAUAUCUGGAGGAACACCGGUGGCGAAGGCGGCAUCCUGGACCGGCAUUGACGCUGAGGCGCGAAAGCCAGGGGAGCAAACGGG